UUCACUCAUGUUAGCUACUUAUUCAGGGCAUCUGAUUCGCUUGGCUUCUUGUUUGCAGUAUCUAUUCCGCAGUUUCCGUAAAGGAAUGUGUUUGUCGCGGCACCGAUUCUGCGCAAUGGCCUUUGACUCAUCUUUCUAUGGUACCACGGAAUUUAGUUUUUCACACUGGGCGUAAACGUCUGAGGAACGCGGAACGCGACCAUCAGGAAAUCCUGUAAGUUCCACUUUCAGUUCGAUUUGGGAGGAUCGCGGAACACUGCAAACAGAAAACCUUUUAAGAGUGUAUUGAGACUAAGACAAGACCAAGGCAGGACGAGACCGAGACAAGAUCAAGACCAAGGCAGGACGAGACCGAGACAAGAUC